UGGAGUACAUUUGAAAACCCUCUACUUAGGAAGUAUUAAGAGGUGGUUUGAGGAUUCAGACCUAUAAAGGCAGUUUCGCCUUCUUCACUUUAAGUACAUUGCCUGAUUCAGUUGUGAGACACUUUGAACUUUCAACUGAAAACACUCAAAUGAAAUAGGAAUGAUUGUAUUACUUCUCCCUGCUCUCUCAGAGUCUUAUUUUUACAUUCUUCGGAAGUUUACCUUCAGAUAUUUUUCUUGGUAUUUGACAUUUUGUGGUUUAACAGAUUGGGCAGCCUUUAAAAAAGUUCGAUUUUGUUUGAAUUGAAUAGUAUGCAAAAUUACCAGAGAGACAUUUUUCAGGAACCAGUAGACAUCUCUUAUUAAGGGUUAGCGGU
rnacentral:lncRNA from 1 species